rnacentral:lncRNA from 1 species
CUGGAGGUGGAGACGCCGGAGGGGGACUAGCAGGGGGAGGAGAAGCCGGAGGAGGAGAUGCCGGAGGUGGUGAAGCAGGAGGUGGUGAAGCCGGAGGAGGAGAUGCUGGAGGAGGAGAAGCCGGAGGAGGGGAUGCAGGAGGGGGAGAUGCAGGAGGAGGAGAAGCAGGAGGUGGAGAUGAAGGAGGAGGAGAGGAAACCGGCGGCGGUGUCGCCGGAGGUGGAGAGGUGACCGCCGGUGGUGGACUCGCCGCUGGAGGUGGAGUAAAAGCUGGAGGUGGCGUAGUGGUAGGAGGAGCCGGCGUAGUAGUCGGAGGUGUCCCCGGAGACUGCGCCGCCACGUUGGCUAAUAC